AGGGAUUAGGAUCCACCCAGAGUCUAGCCUCAGCCACAAAUCAUUUGUGAGCUUUGGAGCAAGUCACCUGACCCCUAGACCUCAGUUUCCCCAUCAUGACAGGAGAAUUAAGGAUUUAACAACCUGGCCAGACCCUCAGGAGAUGGUGCUAACAUGUUGGGAUGGCUCUUAGAAGCAUGGAAAAAGUGAUGGCUCAAAUCAAGUAAGACUAACAAGUCAGAGGCCCCAGCAGAGAGCAGUGCAUCGGCCCAGAUGAGGGCCGUGAGCCACGUCUGGGAUGGACAGGAGGAAAGGAGAAGCUGAGAGACAGCAGGCACCACUGCAGUGCUGUGUGCUGCUUCCUAGUCUCAGGACAGUCCCCUCUGUGAAAAUACACACUUCUCCUUCCUGAAGGAUCUGAUCCCGCCCUACAUUACAUUUUAGUUUAUGUAUGUAUAUGCUUAUCUCUCCUGCCAACUGCUGAGCUUGCCGAGAAAAGGAGUCUUGUUU
rnacentral:lncRNA from 1 species